rnacentral:rRNA from 1 species
UAACGCGUGAGCAAUCUGCCUUUGGAUGGGGGAUAACAGCCGGAAACGGCUGCUAAUACCGCAUAAUGCAGCGGGAUCGCAUGGUUCUGUUGCCAAAGAUUUAUUGUCCAAAGAUGAGCUCGCGUCUGAUUAGCCAGUUGGCGGGGUAACGGCCCACCAAAGCGACGAUCAGUAGCCGGACUGAGAGGUUGAACGGCCACAUUGGGACUGAGACACGGCCCAGACUCCUACGGGAGGCAGCAG